ACACAAGCACACACAUACACAAGCGCAAAUCCUCUCUUUCUCUUUCUCUCAUUUCCCGUCAUAGGUUCUAUGCAGGCAGAUGAGUGUCACAGCUGUAACUGAGGCACAGAGCAGUACACACAGUGGAGCCGAUUUCCGCGAUGGCGAGAGGGGGCACCGGAGGUGACAACAAUAACAAGACUGUCCUUCGGACAAGUUUUAGCGCUGAAUAUCUUCAGGAAAAUGGGUUCCAUGAGAAGUGACAUCCUCCUCGAAUCAAAAGAUUCUCAGGAUGAUGGAGUGAGUGAUGGAAUAGGUUGCCAACUGUAGUUACUCCACUCAGCACAGAAUGGCUGCGGGGAAAUAUAAUCAGACAUGCCCAAAGAAGUCUGCUUAGGGUGAAACAAAUACCUUUGAGGUUUAAAUCAGAAAGGAAGGAGAGACUGUUUCUACAGGUGUCAUACAAAAAUCAAUACUGAGCCAAGGAUUAUUGGAUCCCAUAGAACCACGGAGACUUGGUAGUGAAAUUCUUCCAAAGGCAGAUGGUGUUCCUAGGUUUGGAAAUAUAAAUCCCAUGGGAAGUCAGCUGAAGACCAUUUUAUGCAUCACUCAUCCUGUUAGAGCCCUGUGCUGUUCUGUCUCUCUAUAAGACUGGCUGAAACCACCACGGUUGUUUACAAUUUAUGCUCUAACUUUGGAUCACCUAGUUAAUACUCUAACUCCGAUUAUUACCAAAGACAAUGUUCUAUAAAAGAUAUUGUCUAUUAGAAGGAUGCUUCUGCAUUAUUAAUAAAAUCACAGGGAAAAUGCAACAUUUUGGAUGUCACAUCUGAUAAGUUGGCAGUUAAAGAACAGAAACAGCAAUAAGACUGCGUGGCUACAUUUUCCCAGUGCCACCAACUGGGAUUUAAGCUGACUAACAUUUUGAAAGCCCAGCCCAUUUCAUUCACAGCAGGAUGGCAGAACAAGAAAUUGAGAAUGGGUUUCACAGUGUUCUGUUAAUUUGAUUACUGUGUCCUAAGUGGUAAGUAUAAACCUCCUUAUGUAUUUUGUGAAGCUCACUUAAUCAAGCAAAUAUUAUAAAA
rnacentral:lncRNA from 1 species